rnacentral:lncRNA from 1 species
CCAAAAUUAAACUUUGUUUGAUUUCAACAAAAAUUGAAUAUAUGGGGUUCUUUGAUAUGCUGAAUCUAACCAUGCUUUUAGAUUUAUGAUAUUUGGGCCCGGUUAUCAAAUUGGUCUACAGUGAGGUCUAAAGGGUCCAAAAUUGAACUUUAUUUGAUUUCAUCAAAAAUUGAAUUCUUGGGGUUCUUUGAUAUGCUGAAUCUAACCAUGUAUUUAGAUUUUGGAUAUUAAAAUACCACAAAGGGAUGGUAAGAAUUGUCUUUGGGAGUUAUGGCUCAUACCGUUAAGGAAUAAGGUGCAAAAAAGGGGGGAAA